rnacentral:lncRNA from 1 species
CAGGGGUUGGAGGUCAGCUGCUGUCUGUCUGGUGGCAUUCAUUAGACUGAUUAAAAGUCCCCGCAGAAGGUUAAUGUAGCUUCACUCCAGGAGCAGCACUGGUCCGCGUGUUGUCGUGGCGAGGCGGGAUUCACCAGAUGAGAAGCUGUUUUAGCACUGAGGCUGCAGGUUCGGACCCUCAUGCAGGCUGCUGUCCUAAUAAACAACAGGAAGAUACUGAUCUGAAUGGGAAGGAUGCAAAGCUUUCUUCUGAUCGAAACCGGCAACCCUCCUCCACCCCAAGCACCACCAGAUCCAUGCCAGUUAAGGCCUCCUAUCUCCUGCCCUCCAGCUCUCCACCACCACCAGGUCUAGACCCCGGGGGGAUCUUCUGAUCCAGCGGCCUCUCCUCUUGCGUUUUCCCCCCUUUUCGGAUGUGGUCUUCACGACGGGGUCUAGGACGCCAAUGCACAUUCAAACUUUGUACUUAAUAAAUAUUUCUCAUUCAGUUCG